rnacentral:rRNA from 1 species
UACAGAGGGGGCAAGCGUUGUUCGGAAUUACUGGGCGUAAAGGGCGCGUAGGCGGCCUUCUAAGUCGAACGUGAAAUCCCCGGGCUCAACCCGGGAACUGCGUCCGAUACUGGGAGGCUUGAAUCCGGGAGAGGGAUGUGGAAUUCCAGGUGUAGCGGUGAAAUGCGUAGAUAUCUGGAGGAACACCGGUGGCGAAGGCGGGUCUCUGGGCAGUAACUGACGCUGAGGAGCGAAAGCGUGGGGAGCGAACAGG